GUUAUAUGGUCAAGUGAAUAAGCGCAUACGGUGGAUGCCUUGGCAGCAGGAGGCGAUGAAGGACGUUGUAGCUUGCGAUAAGCCUCGGGGAGCCAGCAAACAGGCUUUGAUCCGGGGAUUUCCGAAUGGGGAAACCCACCGCUUUGGCGGUAUCGCACACUGAAUACAUAGGUGUGCGAGGCGAACCCGGGGAACUGAAACAUCUAAGUACCCGGAGGAAAAGAAAUCAACCGAGAUUCCCUUAGUAGCGGCGAGCGAACGGGGACUAGCCCUUAAGCUUGGGUGCGGUUAGUGGAACGGUCUGGAAAGUCCGGCCAUAGCGCGUGAUAGCCGCGUACAUUAAAACCCAUCCCAAGUGAAAUCGAGUAGGUCGGGACACGUGUUAUCUUGACUGAAUAUGGGGGGACCAUCCUCCAAGGCUAAAUACUCCCUGCUGACCGAUAGUGAACCAGUACCGUGAGGGAAAGGCGAAAAGAACCCCGGUGAGGGGAGUGAAAUAGAACCUGAAACCGUAUGCGUACAAGCAGUGGGAGCCCCUUCGGGGGUGACUGCGUACCUUUUGUAUAAUGGGUCAGCGACUUACUUUCAGUGGCAAGCUUAACCGUUUAGGGGAGGCGUAGGGAAACCGAGUCUUAAUAGGGCGUUUAGUCGCUGGGAGUAGACCCGAAACCGGGCGAUCUAGCCAUGGCCAGGGUGAAGGUGGGGUAAUACCCACUGGAGGCCCGAACCGGGAUCUGUUGAAAAAGAUUCGGAUGAGCUGUGGCUCGGAGUGAAAGGCUAAUCAAGCCCGGAGAUAGCUGGUUCUCCCCGAAAGCUAUUUAGGUAGCGCCUCGUGUCUCACUCCUGGGGGUAGAGCACUGUUUCGGCUAGGGGGCCAUCCCGGCUUACCAAACCGAUGCAAACUCCGAAUACCAGGAAGUGCAAUCACGGGAGACACACGGCGGGUGCUAACGUCCGUCGUGGAAAGGGAAACAACCCAGACCGCCAGCUAAGGUCCCAAAAUCACAACUAAGUGGGAAACGAUGUGGGAAGGCCCAGACAGCCAGGAGGUUGGCUUAGAAGCAGCCAUUCUUUAAAGAAAGCGUAAUAGCUCACUGGUCGAGUCGGCCCGCGCGGAAGAUUUAACGGGGCUAAGUUGUGUACCGAAGCUGCGGAUGCGUACUUGUACGCAUGGUAGGGGAGCGUUCCGUAGGCCUGCGAAGGUGUGCUGUAAGGCAUGCUGGAGGUAUCGGAAGUGCGAAUGCUGACAUGAGUAACGAUAAUGCGGGUGAAAAGCCCGCACGCCGAAAGCCCAAGGUUUCCUGCGCAACGUUAAUCGGCGCAGGGUGAGUCGGCCCCUAAGGCGAGGCUGAAAAGCGUAGUCGAUGGGAAACAGGUUAAUAUUCCUGUACCUCGCGUUACUGCGAUGGGGGGACGGAGAAGGCUAGAUCAGCCGGGUGUUGGAUGUCCCGGUUUAAACGUGUAGGGAGUGCUCUUAGGCAAAUCCGGGAGCGCAAUCCUGAGACGUGAUGACGAGGACCCAUGUGGUCUGAAGUGAUCGAUGCCCUGCUUCCAGGAAAAUCCUCUAAGCUUCAGGUAACGCAAGACCGUACCCCAAACCGACACAGGUGGGCAGGGUGAGAAUCCCAAGGCGCUUGAGAGAACUCGGGUGAAGGAACUAGGCAAAAUGGUACCGUAACUUCGGGAGAAGGUACGCCUCUGCUGGUGAUGAGACUUGCUCUCUGAGCUGGUGGGGGCCGCAGUGACCAGGUGGCUGCGACUGUUUAUUAAAAACACAGCACUCUGCAAACUCGUAAGAGGAAGUAUAGGGUGUGACGCCUGCCCGGUGCCGGAAGGUUAAUUGAUGGGGUUAGCUUCGGCGAAGCUCUUGAUCGAAGCCCCGGUAAACGGCGGCCGUAACUAUAACGGUCCUAAGGUAGCGAAAUUCCUUGUCGGGUAAGUUCCGACCUGCACGAAUGGCGUAACGAUGGCCACACUGUCUCCACCCGAGACUCAGUGAAAUUGAAAUCGCUGUUAAGAUGCAGUGUACCCGCGGCUAGACGGAAAGACCCCGUGAACCUUUACUACAGCUUUGCACUGGACUUUGAGCCUGCUUGUGUAGGAUAGGUGGGAGGCUUUGAAACCGGGACGCUAGUUCCGGUGGAGCCAACCUUGAAAUACCACCCUGGCAUGCUUGAGGUUCUAACCUAGGCCCGUUAUCCGGGUCGGGGACAGUGUAUGGUGGGUAGUUUGACUGGGGCGGUCUCCUCCCAAAGAGUAACGGAGGAGCACGAAGGUACCCUCAGCGCGGUCGGAAAUCGCGCAUUGAGUGCAAGAGCAUAAGGGUGCUUGACUGCGAGACAGACAUGUCGAGCAGGUACGAAAGUAGGUUCUAGUGAUCCGGUGGUUCUGUAUGGAAGGGCCAUCGCUCAACGGAUAAAAGGUACUCCGGGGAUAACAGGCUGAUACUGCCCAAGAGUCCAUAUCGACGGCAGUGUUUGGCACCUCGAUGUCGGCUCAUCACAUCCUGGGGCUGUAGUCGGUCCCAAGGGUAUGGCUGUUCGCCAUUUAAAGUGGUACGCGAGCUGGGUUUAGAACGUCGUGAGACAGUUCGGUCCCUAUCUGCCGUGGGCGUUAGAGACUUGAGGGGAGCUGCUCCUAGUACGAGAGGACCGGAGUGGACGUACCUCUGGUGUUCCGGUUGUCACGCCAGUGGCAUUGCCGGGUAGCUACGUACGGAAGGGAUAACCGCUGAAAGCAUCUAAGCGGGAAGCCCACCCCAAGAUGAGGUCUCUCUGGAUCCUUGAGAUCCCUAAAGGGCCGUGGAAGACCACCACGUUGAUAGGCUGGGUGUGGAAGUGCAGUAAUGCAUGAAGCUAACCAGUACUAAUUGCCCGUGAGGCUUGACCAUAUAACACCCAAGCAGUU
rnacentral:rRNA from 1 species